UACGGUGAAUACGUUCCCGGACCUUGUACACACCGCCCGUCAAGCCAUGGAAGCUGGGUGUACCUAAAGUCGAGUAACCGUAAGGAGUCGCCUAGGGUAAACUAGUAACUGGGGCU
rnacentral:rRNA from 1 species